GUGGCCCUGAGCAAUGUCCGCUGGUGCCAGGCUGGACAGGACUCAGCUCUGGGUACCUUCCCGGGUGCCGCCUAGCCUCAGAACCCAGAGCCCAGACCCCGCCUGCUGGACAUUAGAACCUGGUUCCCAGAGACAAAUGAACAGCCAGAUGGCCACAGGAUUUCAGAGUGUGCUAACGGGUACCUUCUGCACGCUUCCGGACAGAGUCGGGGAAGGGAUCCAGAGGCAGGAGGAUGGACCCCUGAGGUGGCAGUAGGGGGCCGAGGAUGAACUGAUACGGGACAGUGCAGCUUCAAGGGCCUGGGAAAGACCUGCGCUGUGUCCAGAGGAGUGAGGAGCAUCCUGGACAGAGGAAGCCAAGGAAGUCACUGUGUGCCGACUGUAAACACCACAAGGUCCAAGUCAGAAUGGCGAAGCAGAAGACCCAGGCACCCGGUUGCUGAGCCCACCCCACAUGGCCAGGGCCACCGUACCAGGGAGACCUUGGUCUGGAGACGAGCAUCAGCCUGUGGAAAUGCUGAGACAAGACCACAGGGGACACCUGGGCAGGCACUCAUCAGGGAGGAUGCUUCUACUCAAAGCCACACUGUGCUCACCAGAGCUUGUACCUCAGCCAGCCACCCCUACCUACAGUACUACCCAAAUCUUGGGUCAUCUGAGCGGAAAACCCUGCCUGGGGUCUUUGUCCCCUCAUGCUCUGUGGUCUUCUGUCUAUACCUACACAUUGCCUCUAUAUCCCAGAACCCCCUCUUUCUGCCUUGCUGCACUGUAGGGUCCUACUCAUCCCCCAAAGCUCAUCCUCCUCCGUGAUGAUGCUCCUGGUCCCUAGGUUCCCUUUCCCCCUCCAGCCCCAGAGCCCCUGCCCUGGGCCUUCUACUCUAUGGAAACAGCUCUUCCCAACCUGGCCUGAGAGCAUGAUCAAGCCCUGGCCCUACCUGCACCUCUUCUCUCCAAUGUGCUGUGGGGUGGGGCAAUUGGCUCUGUCUAGGAAUACUAGCAGGAAGUAAUUACGUCUAGAGAAUUCAGCCUCCACCCCAUCAGCAACACACACACACACACACACACACACACACACACACACACACACACACACACACACACCCCUGUGGUCCUGCAAGCCUUCUGGAAUAGCAGCGAACACGGUCUUUGUCCCCACACAGCAUCCUGAUGCAUGCUGGGUCCAGGGGCCACCAGGGCGGCAGGGAGAGGAGCAGAGGUUGACAGAGGUUGCAGCUGGGCUAGAGGAGGCGCUUGUCCCUGGAACCAUGCAAAUGCCUCUCCCUCGUCAGGAACUUGGUGGGCACACAAACCAGCUAGACCUGAGCAUCUGUCCACUUCUUUCCAACCUCCUGUACCCUUCCCUUUGCCUUCAUUCAUUCUGCAAGCAAGUGCUUUUUCUGCACAGGAACUAGGGGACUUAUGGGGUUGGGAGAGGGAUGCAAUGCCCCCAGGGGGUCCUUAGCCCCUGGGCCAACCCACCCAAAUAAGAGCAGAUUCUAUCUAAAACACUACAUGUGCCCCACUGUGGCUUAUAAUGGUUAGGUUUUUUUGUUGGUUUUGUUUUUUGUUUGUUUUUUGUUUUUUUGAGACAGGGUUUCUCUGUGUAGUUUUGGUGCCUGUCUUGAAUCUCACUCUGUAGACCAGGCUGGCCUCAAAUACUCAGAGAUCUACCUGGCUCUGCCUCCUGAGUGCUGGGGUUAAAGGUGUGCGCCACCACUGCCUGGCUGUGACACUUAACUUUAACUGUCAACUUGAAAUCUAGAAUCGCUUAGGGGAGAGUUUCAGUGAGGGAUUGCUUAGAUCAGGUGAGCUUAUAGGUAUGCCUGUGGGAGGGGGGCGUGUCUUGAGUACGUUGAUUGAUAUAGGAAGAGUCAGUCUGAAAGAGGGAGGCACCAUGCCCGGGUUUCGA